rnacentral:misc_RNA from 1 species
ACUGAGCUCUGUUUUGAAGUCAGCAGAACCAGCGAGUAUCAGGCCGGAGACAUUGGGCUGACUGGUGGCAGGAUUUAUAUAAAAUUGAGUUGCAAGCUCAGCUGUCUUCCUCACGUAGUUAUGUCGUUUCUCCAUUCGGAGACGAGCAAAACGCAAGGCUGAUUGUCCUCCUCUUCCGUGUUUCUUGGGCAAAUCAACACUAAACUUAUGAAGGACCUCACGCGUGUUGCCACUCAAUGUCCCAAAAAGAGUCCCAUUCCCAUCCAUCACUAUAAAUCCAAAUUUGUCAUCAGAUUCCAGAAGUUCAUUCAGGGCUUCAGUGUGGAAUUUGUUGUCACAAAGAUAGAGUGAUGCAUUAAUGGGCUUGAAUGGCUCAAAAUCAAUAGUAACCUUCUUUUCUUUCCCAUCAUCGGUCACAAUUGUUCCAGUGUAAAGAACAAGCCCAUUUGGUGGAACCUUGUUGUAGAGUUUAAGCCUCUGCUGAGCAGAUGUGAUUGCA